AAAGCAGAUGGUUUUUGGAAUAUAAGUUUUACAUAUUCAACUUGUUAUUCCUCUUUAAAAACAUUGCACUGCCAAACCGUGAUGAUUAAAAUGGAUCUUGGUAAAUCACUUUAUUUACAAAAGCAAUUAAAUGUAUUAGUUUAGUCUGCUGUGUUAUCCAGAGUGAGAUACAGUUAAGUACAAUUGUGAAUGAUUUAGGAAGGUAAUAGACUUCUAUUACUCAUGCAAGUCCUUUAUCGUAAUUUGACAUAAACACUGUAUUAUGUAAUCUGGAACAUAAGCAUGCUGAGAGGUCUUCAAGGGUAAGGAUAUAAAACCACUGUUUUACUAAUGCAUAAUAAAGACAGUAAUUAAACCCUUACAACCAGCAAGUACAUAAAUCAGAAAUGUACUAUUUCAGUAUAAGUUGUAAUAAUUUCAACCAUUACGGAGUGUAAGCUCUAUCAAACAGAUCAUUAUAGCUUGUAAAUGGGUAACCUGACUGGAUGAUAUUAAGGAGUAAUAUUCAGUCACCCUGUGAAAUGGGAGUUUGACUCAAUUGGCUUUGCUUCUCUGGUCAUCUAAGUUUAAGUUCCCACAUUAGCGGUCUCUAACCACACAGGACACCAUUUAUCUAAUCCACCACAGCGGUUCUGAGUCUUCCUAACAUUUCCAGGUGUGUGAAAAGCUGAUGGUGUGUUUUCUUUGGCUGUUGUAAGUUAAAGGUGCAUUAUUACACAACAUCUCUGGACUCUGAAAUGGCCUUCAUAGCUGUUCAUUCAAAACACUCUGUAGAGUUCACUCUGGUUAUGCAAUAUAUUUAAUUAUAUUUACUAUAUAACUAUAUUUAUCACAGUGUAUCUACUAUAUACCUAUUUGAAUGCCAUGUUUUAACUUUUAUUUUUUUCAAUGCAUUCUUGAUGCAUGUUGACAAAUGACUAGGUCAAAAUAAGGACCAAAUCAGACAGACUAAGCGGCCCAGUUUUCAAUGGCUCCUUUUGGUCUAAAGAAAGGUCAUGAUGGGGUGACUAGUUUUAGUCCAAAAAAUAACGUCCCAUGCACGUCUGGUGCUGGGUGGGAUAUAGCAACUGUACAGCAGCCAGCUCUGUUUUUCUAUAUGGUUAUAUAGACGUGUGUAACCCUCUGCAUUUCCAGACUGAGUAGUGCUGCCUUUGAGACGCAGUGCCUGAGCAUUCUGGGAGUUUAUUGGUCCUCAGCACCUCUUAGCUGUGAUGUCUGCAGCCUAUAAAGCAAUUACUGCACGGUAGCUUGGCUGCAGGCCACAGAUGUUACCUGAUGUGACCAACAGGAAUGAGAACAAAGUGCUGGAGAGAGAGAACAUUAAUUCGCCAAAAUGUUGACCCAGUAAGCAUGCUCAUUUGGGCCCUGCAUGAGCAGGUAUGGGUUUACUGUGGGCCAUUGUGGGCAGGGCAAACCCAGAUUAAUACCACGUGCGAUUCCACAGCACUUUUGGGGUCCCCCACAGUUGGGCUUGUCCACAGAAAACCCACACAGGCUAACUCACACUAACUAACUAACUAAUAUGCUACUCAGUUCAGCUUUGUGCAGCCACACGGUAUACUACGGAUUCUUCUUGUCAGCCUUCUUCCUUGAUGAACGGAAUUCUUGCAACAUAAAGCACCAUGCGCGCCUCUGUGUCUAGAUAUGGCAUCGAUUAAUCAGAUGUUUUUAUCCAAAACGAUUUAUAACAAGGUGAUGGAAACCCAUCCUCCCUUGUGUCGGAUGUCAUCGGUCAUGUGAUAUUGCAUAAUAAAAGCAGGCUGGACUCCGAGCUUCGAGUCGCUGGGCAUCAGUAGUUCUUCGCAUCAAAACGGGAAGAGUCGGACUGAAUCGAUCUAGGGUGCCGAAAUUGCCAUUUCUGGUAUUCAUUACUAACUUGUAAGGAAACUAUGAAGUGCUCUCUCGCUUUAAUCCCCUUAACGCUGGCUGCGUGGUGUUAUGCGGACUUUGCGCCACCGAUCGUCAAUAUCAGUUUGGACGAGCCACCGAAAGAAAGAUGGGCACCGUUGAUGAAAGUGAUUGACGUGAGAUACUACAGAAAAAUCGCGCCUCUGAUUAUUGACUCCGAUCCGCCCGACUCUCCCUGCUCCCGCUUCCUGCUCUUCCCGAUCCGUCCCACUCCCUUCCGACCCAGCCUUGAUCUUCCCUCGUGUCCUCUCCUGGUGUCUCCCGUCAGCGUCUUCGAACGGACUUCCCGGUUCUCCGAUCACACCACACCCGACCAGAAUACGAACACGGAUAUCCCCUUGGCUUUGGUUUUUCGGACUGGACGGACCCCGGCUUUGACCCUGAUUGUACUUUGGACUUCUCUUUCGUUUACCCUGAUUAAAGGCUUUCGAACCCUG